AUUUAUAGUUCUGCUUUAGGUAGUGGAACUACAACUAUGAGAUGGGCAGCUUUGACUGAUCAGUGUCAGGUUUUUGGAUAUUGUGGAAACUUGGGGAUCUGUAGUUAUAAUGAUUCGAGUUCGAAUCCAAUUUGUGGAUGCCCAUCUGAGAAUUUUGAGCCUGUUGAUGUGAAUGAUAGUAGAAAAGGGUGUAAAAGAAAAGUGGAGAUUGAGAAUUGUCCUGGGAGUGCUACAAUGUUGGAGAUGGAUCAUGCCAAGUUCUUGACUUAUCAGCCUGAGCUAUCCUCUCAGGUUUUCUCUGUGGGAAUAUCAGCUUGUAGGUUGAAUUGUCUUGUGAGUAGUUCUUGUGUUGCUUCAACAUCUUUGUCAGAUGGAACCGGGUUGUGUUACUUGAAAACACCAGACUUUGUUAGUGGAUAUCAGAAUCCGUCACUUCCUAGUACUUCUUACGUCAAGGUUUGUGGACCGGUGCAACCAAACCCCUCUGCUAAUUUGCAAAUUGACGGGAACAGCAAAGGGAGACUGCAUGUGUGGCUUGUUAUUCUUGUUGUUGUGGUUACCCUUGUUGGUUUGGUUGCUAUAGAGAGUGGUUUGUGGUGGUGGUGCUGUAGAAAUAGUCCCAAGUUUGGCAGUUUGUCAGCACAGUAUGCACUGCUUGAGUAUGCAUCUGGUGCACCAGUGCAGUUCUCAUAUAACGACCUGAAUCGUGCAACAAAGGGAUUCAAGGAGAAGCUUGGAGCGGGAGGAUUUGGAGCCGUUUAUAAAGGAAUUCUCGCUAAUAAAACGGUAGUUGCAGUAAAGCGACUUGAGGGAAUUGAGCAGGGCGAGAAACAGUUCAGGAUGGAGGUUGCAACUAUAAGUAGUACUCACCAUUUGAAUUUGGUGAGAUUGAUUGGAUUUUGUUCUGAGGGACGGCAUAGGCUUUUGGUCUAUGAGUUCAUGAAAAAUGGAUCGCUUGAUAAUUUCCUUUUCAAUACAGAUGAGCAGUCAGGGAAAUUGUUGAACUGGGAGCAUAGAUUUAACAUUGCCCUUGGGACUGCAAGAGGAAUCACAUAUCUUCAUGAGGAAUGUCGAGAUUGCAUUGUUCAUUGUGAUAUCAAGCCAGAAAAUAUCCUCUUAGAUGAGAAUUACAAUUCCAAGGUGUCAGAUUUUGGUCUUGCGAAGCUCAUAAAUCCUAAAGAUCAUAGGUAUAGAACCCUCAGAAGUGUAAGAGGGACAAG
rnacentral:misc_RNA from 1 species